rnacentral:lncRNA from 1 species
CUUAGUAACCACAUAGUUCAAUGUUUUUCUACAUUGUUUAACUGAUUACAUGCUAUUGGUCCUAUAUUGUAACUGUUUUACAAAAAAAAGAAAUUAUUAAAUUAUUUUACAGUAUUAAUAAGAGAAAACCAUUAUAACAAUAUGAACACAAACUAUCAUAAUACAUGUCGUGGUCGAAUAUUUUCAUUGUGUGUGAGGGUGGAUUCGAAUCAAAACAUGGCAUCACCUAUAUCGACCCUAUAGAUGUUUCCAUGCUCUUUGAAACUAUGAUCAUGCCGUUGGCCCUACCCUAUUAUCACCACCUACUCUACUAUAUGUAUGUGGGGAAAUUAUCUGCACAUCCACCGAUAUUCAUCAUAAGUGGAAAAUUACGAUAAUUGAAUAUGACGUCUGUAAUUAUUUUACUGAUCGAAGCUUUUUUUGACAAUAGAAUUUAUACUAAUGCAGAAAUCUGCAACUAUUUUUAGUAACCAGAAUAAAAAGUUGCGCCAUUGUGUGUGUGGGUCACUGUACAUAUCUAAACAUUUUUUUUUAUCUGAUUUGUUUCUUUAUUCUACUAUGUAUAAAAUUUUGUAUACGCACAUGCAUAAUACUUUUUUUUUCUUUUUCUUUUUUGGGUAUGAAACAUGCAUAAUAUACUUUCUACCAAACGAUUGUUGGUCAUUCUCUCAAACUCCAUUUGCCAAAUUCUUCACGGCAUUGUGUUCUGAAGUCGGCUACGUACACAAAGAUCAAUAUGCAGAACCAAGUUGUGGUAGCGGCAAAUUGUCCUGUGUGCAUCUACACCAAAGAUCCAUUUAAGUUAGACUCAAUUUUUUUUUAUCUUUCUAGGAUCCAUUUACAUUCAGAUUGGGUCAUGUCUACUGAGGUUACAUUUUUUGUAGAAUUUUCUUCUAACUUACAAAUCAUCGUCACAAAUUUAGGCGUUGUCAAUAUAUGUAUGUGUACAAUGUAUAUAUAUAUAUAUAUUAUAAAAAAAUAUUCGAUUAGUAGCCACCACACGGGUUAAUUUGGACUUAAUUAAAAAUAAGUUACUCUAUAAAGUGUCAUAAUAGUUUAAAUCCAGACUCUAAACUCCUGAUUCGCCCAAAUCUAGAAGUGGCAAAGCAAAAGUUUGAACAAAAUUCUAAGUAAUUAUUAUAGUGGGAAGAGAAAGUGACUCCUUUUUGAAAUGAUUUGCAUUUGAUGCAAAUGAUCGGAAGAAAGGUCGUAGUUAUAUAUCUUAUCCAGUAAUUAUGGUUUCCUCGUGUAAUGCUCUAGUUUAAUUUUUUAAUUGGGAAACAAUUGUGAGCUGAGCUUGAAUAACGCCAGUGCAAACCCUUCCUUUUUUUUAACGUCCGGUGCAAACAUUGACCCUAUAUUAAGUUAUUAACCAAGUAGUGGGAGAUCGCAGUCCCACUUGGCCCAUGAACCAGUGUGUAAAUCAAAUAUACCCUUUUACUGCAAAAGAAGAGGUUUUCCUAUAAAUUUUGUUUUAUUCGAAACCCUAAACGCUGAAUACUAUUUUUCUUAUAAUUAAUUUUAUUUAAGACUUUAAAAAUAAUAAUUGAAUUUCUGGUUUUAUUCUCUCUGAUUAGGAAUAAUUGGUAUGUUAUUUUAGUUUGUCUACCAAAAAAGUUUGGAACAUAUGAUAUUUCUAAACAGCAGGACAAAAAAUAAAUACAUAGAGAACCAUAUUUGAAAGAGACAACACAUGAGUAGACACAUGAGUUGAGGUUGAUGUUGAUAAUAUCUACACUAACCUUAUACUGUAAUGUCAAGAGCGUGUUAUUUGUUUUCGGUAAUAGUUUGAGAUUGUUUUGGGGAAUGUACAAGAAAUUUU